rfam:Triticum urartu cultivar G1812 contig250137, whole genome shotgun sequence.
UUAGUACUUCAUCCGUCCGAAAAAAUUUGUCCCAAGUUUGUCUUUCAAAUGGAUGUAUCUAGCACUAACUUAGGGCCAGAUACAUCCAUUUGAGGGACAAGAUUUUUCGAACGAAGGGAGUAAUUA